GCAGUUGUGGCCGAGUGGUUAAGGCGAUGGAUUCGAAAUCCAUUAGGUUUUUUCUGCGCCGGUUCGAAUUCUGUCAACUGCG
rnacentral:tRNA from 1 species